rnacentral:rRNA from 2 species
GUAGGGUGCAAGCGUUAAUCGGAAUUACUGGGCGUAAAGCGUGCGCAGGCGGCUAUGCAAGACAGAUGUGAAAUCCCCGGGCUCAACCUGGGAACUGCAUUUGUGACUGCAUGGCUAGAGUACGGUAGAGGGGGAUGGAAUUCCGCGUGUAGCAGUGAAAUGCGUAGAUAUGCGGAGGAACACCGAUGGCGAAGGCAAUCCCCUGGACCUGUACUGACGCUCAUGCACGAAAGCGUGGGGAGCAAACAGGAUUAGAUACCCUGGUAGUCCACGCCCUAAACGAUGUCAACUGGUUGUUGGACGGCUUGCUGUUCAGUAACGAAGCUAACGCGUGAAGUUGACCGCCUGGGGAGUACGGCCGCAAGGUUG